UUUUCUCCUGCCGGUGUCUCGCCGGUCGGCGUCUCUAGACGCCAUGGUAAAUGGGGACACGUUCUCCCAGCUCACGAGGAAGCACGGCAUUAAGAUCGCCGCGGGCUUCCCGUGCAGCGUGGAGGACAUCGGGUUGGCUGUGGGGGAAGUGGUCGGGCACGGCAGCGUUAAGUCGGCCGCUCGGAUGAACGGGGCCGUGGUCAUUUUCCUGGACCAGGUGGAGAAGGUGAACCGAGUCGUCGAGGCGGGCCUCACGGUGAAUGAAAUGUUUGUGCAGGUGUUGCCACUGACGCAACCGGCCACGAAGGUGGUUCUAUCGAACGUCCCUCCGUUCAUCACCGACGAAUUUCUCAGCAGAGAACUCUCCAGACACGGAAAGGUGGUCUCACCGAUCAAAAAGAUCUUGUCUGGAUGCAGGUCUCAGUUACUGAAGCACGUAGUGUCUCACCGCAGACACCUGUAUAUGAUACUUAACAACCGGAAUGUGGAGCUCAACCUCCGCUUCCAUGUUAAGAUAGAUGAUUAUGAGUACGUGAUUUUUGCAUCAUCGUCGGCGAUGAAAUGUUUCGGUUGCGGCGAGGAGGGGCACACCGUGGGUGCCUGCCCGAGGCGCGGGGACCCGACUCCGCCUGGCGGGGCUGCGGCGGGGGAUCCUCCGGCCGUGGUUUUGGCGGGGGGCCUCCGGCCGCGGCUCUUGCGGGGGGGUCUCCGGCCGCGGCUGCGGCGGGGGAGCCUCCGGCCGCGGCGCUUGCGGGGGAGUCUCCAGCCGCGGAGGUGGCUGCGGCGUCCGUGAGGCCGUUUCCGGUUCCGCGGGCCGCGGGCCGUUGCGCUGCUGUGCCUGACCUACACGGGGUGAGUAUGGAAGAUGUGCACAGUGUAAAUGAGGGUGUUUUGGUGGGUGAGAGAGGAGCUUUGGGUGAGGUGGCAC
ensembl:lncRNA